GGUUGUCAUAGUUUAGGCAAUAAUUGAUCAAUAUAAAAUUAGCUUUUAGGGACAAAGACUGGAGAUUUUGACGCUUAUGCAAAAUUUUCUACAAGAAAAAGUUCAGUGUCCAAGUAUUAUUGUUUUAACACAAACUUUUCUUGCUAAGACCCUUCCUUGGCCAAGAGUUUUUUCUUUUUUUGAUUUAUUGAUAGGGUUCAAGAUUUUGUUCUUUAUUUCAAGCAUUAGACAAUUAUAUUCCCCUCCCCCUUCUGGGUUUUACUAAUUGUUGAUGUCAGAAGAUGAUUUAAGCUGAUUUCUGUAGUUGUCAAUGUGAUAUUGUUAAUGUCUAGAUGAUGAAGUGCAGCGUACCUUUGCUAUAAUUUGUUGAUACAAUAGUAUGACACUGAUUAUUAAGAUUAUACCAUUCUAAGCAGAAUGAAUUCUCAUGUCCUUAUUGUUCCUGAUACUUCUCACUAUUGAUAUUGAAUUGUUUGCAUUAUGUAGUAUCACUUUUUAAGCAUGAUUUUGCAGUGGGUUAUUGCUCCUUCUAUGGGAAGAAGGUUGACCCGGAGCCGGGACGAUGCAGGAGAACUGAUGGCAAGAAGUGGAGGUGCUCCAAAGAUGCAUACCCAGACUCCAAGUAUUGUGAGCGCCACAUGCACCGUGGCCGCAACCGUUCAAGAAAGCCUGUGGAAUCGCAAACCAUGACACAGUCAUCGUCCACUGUGACAUCACUGACUGUUACCGGAAGCAGCAGUGGGACCGGAAGCUUCCAGAACCUUCCAUUGCACACCUUUGGUAAUCUCCAGGGCACUGGUUCUGGAACUAACCAAUCCCAUUAUAAUAUGGACUCCAUUCCCUAUGGGAUCCCUAGCAAAGAUUACAGGUAUUGCUUCUUGUAAGUAUGUAUGUAUAUAUGUAUUUGUGCUUUUAUUUGGAUAGGCUAGGAAAUUGGAUUGUAACUUGAAGCAUGAUCACUUGAGAGAACAAAGCUCUCUUGCUAAGCUCAUAAGAGUACUUAUGGGAGGAUUAUGCUUUUCUAAUUGUUGUAACUAGUAUUAUUAUAUUAUUUAGGAAAGAACAACAAUAAACGUAUAAUUCAAGUAUAGGCUUCAUGUUAGAAAAUUUAAAUGCGGUCAGUUGUUGUGUACAUCACAUUCCUCCUUUGUUGGGGUGAAAUUUUGUACCAGAGGGUAGAUUCUGGAUCAUUGUCAUCUGGAAGUGGAAAUGUUAUAAACAUUUUUCAAGUUUCUGUCGGGCUCUGGGUUCUGGGCCCUGGUGUCUACAAGAUGGAGGACCUUUGUAGUGUCCCAACAGAAUGUAUUUUUGUUUGUCAGUCUUGCUCUCUGGUACUAUGCUUUGUGCUUUCUCUGUAAAAAUAAUGCUAGAAUUCUGACAGCCACUAGGAAUUGUCUUCAGCACAUCAAUGGUUGCAAAGUUAUCAACUCUCUUCAGUUUCUGUCUAGAGGAACAGAUGAGAGAGAUAAAAAGGGUAAGUCUACGACAGCAGAUUUAUGUGGGCAAGGAUAGCCUGCAAUUUUCAGAAUAAAAAGAAGUGUCAGUUUCUGCCUGACUUUUGGUUUUCCUAUGGGAAACUCUGCAGAGUACACUUGUUAUCUAUGCCUGCAGGCAGCAAAACCAUUUACUUCCUUGUACUUGAUGGUUAAAGGCUUAUGGCUUCUUUUCUAUAUAUUAUGUGAAAUAUGCAUGCAUAUAUAUAUAUAUAUGCAUACAAAGUUCCUAAGGUGCUACAUGUAUAUAUAUUUUUUUUGUGUUCAAACAUGUUGCUAUAUGCAGUAAA
rnacentral:misc_RNA from 1 species